AUGUUUCUUGCUUGCUGCUAAAGCUUGUACAUGUUCCAUGAACACUCUCCAUUCCUUCCUGGUGAUGCGAUCAUCAGCUCCACUCCCUUUCUCCUGCUCUCUUAGCACCACACUGUCUUCUACUGAUUCACCCAUGUAGGCUGAGUAAGAACACUCUCCUCUAACCAUCUGGUGAACUACAUCCUUGAUCCCCUUCAAGCCCAUCAUGUGUCUUAAGUCAUCCGACUCACUAUCCUCUCUCCAAGGUCUUCUCAUCAUGAACCACACCUUGGAAAUCUUUCUCAACCUUCUCCUUUUACAGCUUGUACCACCUCUCCACUGAGUUGAUCCCUUGUUCUUCCCACACACACCACGCACAUGUUGAACAAGCUUACAAAUCCCAUUCACAAGAAGGUUAAAUACAACAUCUUGUUCCUGCCUUUCUUGAAUCACUUUCGGAUCUGAUGUGCUUGGCCUCAACACAUCUAGCUCCGACCAUACACAUUUCAGCCUUCCCACAAGCUGAUACAACUCGCCCUUUCCAUGUUUCCAGUCUUGGAUAACACCCCUGGCUUCAUGAACCUUCAACUUUGCUGUCUGAUCUUCUUCAGCAGCUAUCUCCUUUAAAGGUUCCACCUUUACAUGGAUCUUCGCCAAACUUGCUGUCUGACUUUCUUCAGCAGCUACCUCCUUUAAAGGUUCCACCUUUACAUGAUUACUCCAAAUCCCACAGCUUUUCAAAGCUGUCUUUACCACUCUUGACAAUACCCACUCGUUCUCUUCUUCAAACUUCUCUGA
rnacentral:lncRNA from 1 species